UGGUCAGUCUGUCUCGUAAUCGUAGUGCGUAGUUCGCGAGCAAAAGCUAACGCGAAUAAUUGGAAGCGGAUAAGCCAAGCAAAGCUAAGCUGAAACGUGCAUUAUAUAUUACGAAAUUGCAGCAGCCAGUUGAACAGUCUGCCUGCUUACUAUAUAAAAAAAAAAGAGUUUAAAUCAAAGUAGAAAACUAUAUGUACAUAUAAAGAAAUAGUUAGGUAAAUUGAAGUCAACCCGAAAACAAGCAUCACUAACAGUAGCAACAACAGCAAAAGCAGCAACAAAAUAACUGUUAUAUCGAACCAAGGACAAGCCAAGAAAAUACAUAAACUUGAAUUAAAUAUACACACAUAUAUAGAACUAUAGAUUAGAACGAGAGCAUUCGAAGGAGAGAAAGAGAGACAGGGAGAGAGUAAUAUAUAUAUAUAUAUAUAUAUGUUAUAUAUACAUAUAUAUAUAUAUAUAAAUAGAGAGUGAGAGUGAGGCGCACCACAAUCGAGUAGCAACAGAAACCAAAUAUGGAUCCUUACGAUAUGGAAGAUGUUGUCGUUGUGCCACCGACCGAACAUGACCACAGCUCCCCAAUCAAAGAGUGGCGCCUCGCGCUGCAGGCCGGAACAUUGACACGCAACGAUUUCAUCGACUAUUUUAAAAAGCUAGCGCCCAAAUUUUUCGAAGUUCAUAAUGAAAUGGAAA